CCUUACCAAUGUUAUAGGACAUUUAUAAUCAUGGGGAGGAGAACAUGGACUUGAGCCUGCUUCGCUUCCAUUGCUUUUUGACUUCACUGUCACAGGUGACUCGGCUUCAUCUUCGUCCCUUCUUCUUCCUUUGCUUGGUUUCUCUGCUGAACUAGAGAAUUCUGAGAAUGAGUCUGAUGGGGUCCCAAGAUGAACCACAUUUUACAGCUAUGAGGUGCAUGUUGAAGCACAUACUCUGCUUUUCUAGAUGUGAUACCCAUCCGCCUGCAUCAUCAAAGAGAGCUUAGCGUACUUGUUUUAUCCACUGAUCUUUCUAGUUUUCAUUACAUGGGCUGAUUCAUUAGAAGAAUCUUUAAACUUUUAGUUAUUGAUUGAUUUUUGGAGCUAUCCUUGCCUGGAGUAGUGAGGAUCAGCUGCUGCUCCCAUAACGAGCUUCUUGAU